rnacentral:rRNA from 1 species
GACGAACGCUGGCGGCGUGCUUAACACAUGCAAGUCGAGCGGAGCGGCGAACGGGUGAGUAACGCGUGAGUAACUGCCCCCCUCUCUGGGAUAACAGUUGGAACCGGCUGCUAAUCCCGGAUAGUGGGGGCUGUCUCGCGUCCUAUCUGCUUGUUGUUGGGGUAGUGGCCUACCAAGGAGACGACGGGUAGCCGGACUGAGAGGGCGACCGGCCACAUUGGGCUGAGAUACGGGCCAAACUCCUACGGGAGGCAGCAGUGGGGAAUAUUGCACAAGGGGGGAAACCAUGAUGCAGCAACGCCGCGUGCGGGAUGACGGCCUUCGGGUUGUAAACCGCUUUCAGCCAUGACGCGGUAGUGGAAGAAGAAGCAACGGCUAACUACGUGCCAGCAGCCGCGGUAAUAG